rnacentral:misc_RNA from 1 species
UGAGAUUUCUACCGGUUUGGACAGCUCAACAACGUUCCAAAUAGUGAACUCACUAAGACAAUCCAUUCACAUUCUCCAUGGAACAGCUGUCAUCUCUCUUCUCCAGCCAGCACCGGAGACUUAUGACCUUUUUGACGACAUUAUUCUCCUGUCAGAUGGCCACAUUGUGUACCAGGGUCCUCGUGAGAAUGUGCUUGAGUUUUUCAAAAACAUGGGCUUCAGGUGUCCUGAAAGAAAAGGUGUUGCCGACUUCUUGCAAGAAGUAACGUCCAAAAAAGAUCAGAGACAUUAUUGGGCACGUGAAGAUCAGGCUUACACUUAUGUCACAGCUGAGGAAUUUGCUAAGGCGUUUCAGUCAUUCCGUGUGGGACGGAGAAUAGGAGAUGAGAUUUCGACUCCAUUUGACAAGACCAAGAGUCACCCGGCUGCUUUGGCAACCAGGAAAUAUGGCGUUGGAAAAAUGGAUUUGUUUAAAGCUUGCUUCUCGAGAGAGUUGUUGCUUUUAAAGAGGAACUCAUUUGUGCACACCUUCAAGCUCGGUCAAUAUGCAAUUAUGGCAAUAGUUGCAACGACAGUCUUCUUGAGGACUGAGAUGCACAGAGAUUCAGUCAUCGAUGGAGGAAUUUAUUCAGGAGCUUUGUUCUUCAGUUUGGUCUUGGCCAUGUUUAAUGGUGUGGUAGAGCUGCCCUUGACAAUCACAAAACUUCCUGUCUUUUACAAGCAAAGGGAUUCCCUUUUCUAUUCUUCAUGGGCAUUUUCUCUUCCUCAUUGGAUCCUUAAGAUUCCCUUGACAAUCAUUGAAGUUGCUAUAUGGGUGUCGAUUACUUAUUAUGUCAUUGGAUUCGAUCCAAACGUUGGAAGGUUCUUUAGGCAGUUUCUUCUGCUUAUCAUUGUUAAGCAGAUGACUUCUGCACUGUUUCGGUUUAUUGCUGCAGCUGGAAGAGACAUGAUAUUUGCUGAAACCUUUGGAUCAUUUGCAUUACUUGUAGUUUUCAUAUCAGGUGGCUUUGUCCUAUCUCGAGAUAGAGUAAAGAAAUGGUGGAAAUGGGCUUAUUGGACAUCGCCAAUGAUGUAUGCGCAGAAUGCACUAGCAAUUAAUGAGUUCCUUGGGAAAAGUUGGAGCCAUAUUGUCCCAAACUCGAGUGAAGCACUAGGAGUUCAGAUUCUGAAGUCUCGUGGAUUUUUCAUAGAUGCAUAUUGGUAUUGGAUGGGAGUAGGAGCAUUGAUUGGAUUCACGUUAGUAUUGAACUUCUGCUACACUGUUGCUCUCACUUUCCUUGACCCAUUUGAUAAGCCUCGAGCUGUUAUAUCUCAAGAGUCUAAAAGUAAUGGACUCGAUGACAGAACUGGAGGAUCCAUUCAGUUGUCAUUCCAUGGAGAUAGUCACCAAGUCAAUGCAGGAUCUAUGAUAAUACGGGCGAUCGAUGAGGCCAACCAUGAUAAGAAGAAAGGCAUGGUUCUUCCAUUUGAGCCGCAUUCUAUCACCUUUGAUGAAAUUACAUACUCUGUUGACAUGCCACAGGAAAUGAAAAAUCAGGGUGUCCUUGAAGAUAAAUUGGUGCUUUUGAAGGGUGUGAGCGGUGCUUUCAGGCCAGGUAUUCUCACAGCUUUAAUGGGUGUUAGUGGUGCUGGU